AAGAAGGACCUGAGACCACAUUCAGAUUCAGAAACAAAGAGAGAAAUGGGAACUAUCUGGAACUCCACCUGCCCAAUUCAAAAGAAUCCAUUUUUAUUCCCUUCUUUAACCAAGAAAUAUGCAAAUUCCUUUUGCAAUUUCACCAACAAGUCCGUCCAAAUUUCUUGCAAACUUCCUGGAAGUGAAGUUGAAGAAAAUUAUACUAGCAGAAGCGUCUCAAGUAAUAAGAUGGAGGAAUACAACUUAGCUAUGAAGCGAAUGACGAGGAAUCCUUAUGAAUAUCACCAUGAUCUUGGAAUGAACUACACAUUGAUAACAGAAAAUCUCAUUGUUGGCUCCCAGCCCCAGAAAGCUGAAGAUAUAGAUCAUUUGAAAAAAGAGGAGAAGGUCGCUUUUAUACUAAACUUGCAGCAGGACAAAGAUAUUGAGUUUUGGGGAAUAGACCUCCAGUCUAUAGUCAGAAGAUGUUCAGAGCUUGGAAUUCAUCACAUGAGAAGGCCUGCGAGAGAUUUUGAUCCAGAUUCCUUAAGGGGUGUAUUACCUAAAGCUGUUUCAUCACUAGAGUGGGCAAUUUCAGAAGGAAAAGGAAGAGUGUACGUACAUUGCACUGCUGGAUUGGGAAGGGCUCCUGCUGUUUCAAUUGCUUAUAUGUUCUGGUUUUGUGGAAUGGAUCUAAAUACCGCCUAUGAUACACUCACAUCAAAGAGACCCUGUGGGCCCAACAAAAGGUCGAUACGAGCAGCUACUUAUGAUUUGGCUAAAAAUGAUCAGUGGAAGGAGCCGUUUGAGAAUCUGCCAGAUUAUGCCUUUGCUGAUGUAGCAGAUUGGGAAAGGACACUGAUUCAAGAUCGUGUCCGGGGCCUUCGUGACACUUGAGUAUGCUGAGGCCUGGGCAUUUGAAUCCAUACCUCAACUGCGGCCAAAAGAUUAUCUAAAGAGAGGACAUUGCUGAGGAUGAAGAUGUGGUUGUUUGAGAAAGUAGAAAAAGACAAGCCCGAUUCAUUUCAAAUCAAAGAUGAUCUGGCUGAAAAGAUGGAGGCUUACAUCCAGAAUCUUGUUAUUUUACUAGACAAAUAGGACACGACGAUGGAUAGCCUAAGUAAAGUUGGAUGGGAUGAUAGUCUUAAGACAUUUGGGUGGUGCCCUUAAGAUAAAAGAAGGGUAGUUUGCAAACCCCACAAAUUGGAGAUAGCCAUAUGGUUGGAGGAGAUGAUGGUACAAGAGAAAAAUCUGUCAGUGUCCACUAUCCCUGCAUAUGCCCAAUUGUCUCGAAAAAAAGCAAAUGAACCGGAGGAAUGCUAUGCAAGAUCAGUUGAGAUAGCAAAUGGAAAUAAUGAAGUUUAUACAAAAGAUCAUGGAUGAAUUGGUUCACAAGCUAUUGAAGAGACCUGUGGUCUUCCCUGAGCAAUUUAGGAUCCUUACACUAAAGGAACAAAAAGAGAAAGGAUGCUUAAAAGGGCCAAGAACAAGAAACCUCCACAUCAGUCAGUAAGGAGAGGUUGAACGUUGACAUUUAUAAACCGAUUGACUGGGAGAGGAGAAAUGCCCUCAUGGCUUUUAUCAGAAAAUAAGGAGUCUCAGACAUAAUUUACACGUGGGAUGUUCGAUUAUGAAGACUUCAAGAACAUCCAAGAUUUCCAAUUCUGGUUGGAGUAUAAGCAUGGAUAUAUUCCAGAGAGCAAGAAGCUGCCACCACUUGAAGAGAAGCAGCCCCAUUAUAGCAUGCUGCAAAUUCGGAAUUUUUACUGCAGCUUUUCAUAAAACUAUCGGUAUAUGAGAAUUACGAGGUCUCAAAUGCAAUUUGACAUAUGAAUUAGGUGUUGCUGUAACAUAUUAGGUCAGUAGAUUCUUUAUAGUUGUAAACCCCUGUAAUAAAGUGAGCCCAUCAAUUGAAAGUUCAUUAUUGGGGAGCACCUUGUUUAUCCUUGUUCUGUAGACAAAUAGGUUGGGGUUUAUGUCCUCUUUUUGUACUUCUUCUUACAAUGAGGUGUUCUUAGAGCAAUAGGUUGAUAGGAAAGUGGGACUUUUUAAUUCACCUGAACAUUUCACAUAAUUCACUUGUAGCCUCCCUAGAAUAACUUCAUCACUAUAAUUUAGAGAAUCUUGAUCUUAUAUUUAACUUUAACUUUCUGUAGGGUCGUCUACCCUUUUCGAUAUGUAAGUGGAGCAGCCUUAUUCUUUCGGAUUUAUGACACCUAUUAGUGCUAGACUCGAGAAGGAAUAAUUUCAAUGGAAGUCUUCCACCGUCAUGUACUGAAGAGAGCACUUCAUUGAUGACCAUUGACUUGAAUGGUAAUCAAUUUGAAGUGCUUUGAGUACAUCACAGUGGAAGGCUUCCAUUGAAAUUAUUCUUUCUCAAGUCUAGCACCUAUAUAUAGCUCAGCCAUGCUACCCAAGCAAUGUGGAACUGACUCACUGAAGUUGUGUGAUAAAUCCAGAAGGUUAAGACUGCUUCCACAUGACUCACUGAAGUUGUGUGAUAAAUCCAGAAGGGUAAGACUGCUUAAGUUGCAAGGAAGUUAAAUUUAGGAUCAAGAUACUGUAGAUAGUAGUAAUGAAGUUGUUCUAGGUGGCUUGUAAGUGAAUCAUGUGAAAGUUUUAGGUAAAUCAACGAGUCUCACCUCUUAACUAUCAACCUAUUGUUCUACAGAACACCCUUCAAGUUGUUCUGUCUUGGCCCACAACAUGCAGUGUACCCAAUAUAGAGGCUAAUAAUGAUUCAAUACUCUCUUUAAUUCGUUUGGACUUGUAUGAUUAGGAAUGACAAUGGGACGUGGCAGAUUGAUUU